GGGGAAAUGGCGGUGGAUGUCGAGGGGGUGUCGGCGGGCGUGUCGUGUUCGUAUUCCUGUAAAAUGGACACAACUUCCUCACUGGUAUUAUAGAAGAAAGAGACAAAAACGUGAGUCGGCACACUCUGGUGGAAGAGAGGCUAUAUCUACGAUAGACAGACAACCCAACACAGGGAGAAAUCUGUUGAGCUGAGGGACACAUCUGUCAAGGGAAAAAGAAGAAAGUGAAUUACAACUCGUAGAAAAUGAAGAGGUGAAAAGCUGCAGGAAGGCGACCACAGGAAAUGUAAGGCACCAACCAUGGUAAUAUUCAGAGCUCAGAGUUCUUCAAAAACUGCUGUGGCACAAAUACCCAAGCGAUACGAGAUUUGGAUUUAGGUCAGCUUAUUGCUGUAUUCUCGGACACUGCCGACGUCACAGCUUCUAAGUUUACCCUUGCUUUUGUGUGUGAGCUACACAGAUUGAGUGUGGAAAACAGCACUGUGUACUCCUGCAAAAAUAAAUGCACUGCCAAACUGAGCGAGUAAACUCUCAUAACAUAGCAAUUAUUUUUGAUUAUGGAAAGGGCAAAUUACAUCCAUGCUACUGUUUAACGACAUGAUCAUCUGCCAUUCCGCUCUAAAUACCAGCAGUAAUGACUUUACUUCAUUGUAAUUUGUAGAGAGAGAUGUUUUAUUUCACUACUGCUAGCUUUCAGAAACUUGUCAGUACAGCAUUUUACCCAGAAGAGCAUAUAUAUCAAAGUCAGGCCUGGAAAAUGUAGUCAGAAUAACAACUGAGCAGAAGUUACCUCCUUUUUGCUGCCUUUCUUCCAGUAUAGUAUUCUGUAAUUCCAUGAGCCAUAAUACUGCUUUAAGGACCACUUGUCAGGUUUAUGUUCAGCAAUAGGGCCUAUGAAGUCCACGUGCAAAGACCCAGAUUCUGACUUCAUUUUUACAUCAGGUGGCCCAAUGAUGGCUAUGUAUGAGAAUGGUGGAAAAAAAGAAACAACAGAACUCAGUCUCACACAGUUCUCAAUUUGACAUUUUUAUGCACCUUGUGACACUUCAUGUUUUAUGCGUCAAACCUUUUUAUGUACUUGAAGAGAGUAAUUUCCUCUCACAGGUGAAAGACAAUUAAACCUUUUCCUUACAAAA